ensembl:lncRNA
GGGUAUUAAAGAGGAGGUAUUUACAUUUAUGUUGUAUUAAAGAGGAGGUAUUUACAUUUAUGGAGUAUUAAAGAGGAGGUAUUUACUUCUAUGGAGUAUUAAAGAGGAGGUAUUUACUUCUACGGGGUGUUAAAGAGGAGGUAUUUACUUCUGUGGGGUAUUAAAGAGGAGGUAUUUACAUUUAUGGAGUAUUAAAGAGCAGGUAUUUACUUCUGUGGGGUAUUAAAGAGGAUGUAUUUACAUUUAUGUUGUAUUAAAGAGGAGGUAUUUACUUCUGUGGGGUAUUAAAGAGGAGGUAUUUACAUUUAUGGAGUAUUAAAGAGCAGGUAUUUACUUCUGUGGGGUAUUAAAGAGGAUGUAUUUACUUCUGUGGGGUAUUAAAGAGGAGGUAUUUACUUCUGU